GCCAACUUCUAAUUUGACUACAUUAUUCUUGAAGCGUCAACUUCUGGUUGAUUAUUUGAUUCAUGUCGGUGAAGACAGUAGGGCAAAUAAGGUGUCUAAAACAAAGCUUCAUGUAGUCAAGUUGAAGUGGGCAGAUGGGAUGAAUACAGAGGAGACAGGUAUAUACAUGAUGCGCCACCUAGAGACAUUCAUGGGUGAUUAUUCAUC
rnacentral:lncRNA from 1 species